rnacentral:rRNA from 1 species
AUACAUGCAAGUCGAGCGGACAGAUGGGAGCUUGCUCCCUGAUGUUAGCGGCGGACGGGUGAGUAACACGUGGGUAACCUGCCUGUAAGACUGGGAUAACUCCGGGAAACCGGGGCUAAUACCGGAUGCUUGUUUGAACCGCAUGGUUCAAACAUAAAAGGUGGCUUCGGCUACCACUUACAGAUGGACCCGCGGCGCAUUAGCUAGUUGGUGAGGUAAUGGCUCACCAAGGCGACGAUGCGUAGCCGACCUGAGAGGGUGAUCGGCCACACUGGGACUGAGACACGGCCCAGACUCCUACGGGAGGCAGCAGUAGGGAAUCUUCCGCAAUGGACGAAAGUCUGACGGAGCAACGCCGCGUGAGUGAUGAAGGUUUUCGGAUCGUAAAGCUCUGUUGUUAGGGAAGAACAAGUACCGUUCGAAUAGGGCGGUACCUUGACGGUACCUAACCAGAAAGCCACGGCUAACUACGU